GGCGCCCCACAUUAGGGUUUUGAUCAAGAGAGGGGGCGUGGCCCCCCCUCCUCUCUCUCCUCCAUGCCAAGCCAUAAGAAGGCACACCCCCUCUCUCUCUCCCCUCCACACCAAGCCAUAAGAGGGGUGGGCCCCUCUUGCAAAAUCUUAGGGAUUGGCACCCCUGGUCCUACUAAAAAUGAAGGAAGGCACCACCCAUUCUUUCUUUCUAUUCCACACACACAUUUAGAGAUAAUUAGGAGAUAG
rnacentral:lncRNA from 1 species